rnacentral:rRNA from 1 species
CAGGCCUAACACAUGCAAGUCGAACGGAAAGGCCCUGCUUUUGUGGGGUGCUCGAGUGGCGAACGGGUGAGUAACACGUGAGUAACCUGCCCUUGACUUUGGGAUAACUUCAGGAAACUGGGGCUAAUACCGGAUAGGAGCUCCUGCUGCAUGGUGGGGGUUGGAAAGUUUCGGCGGUUGGGGAUGGACUCGCGGCUUAUCAGCUUGUUGGUGGGGUAGUGGCUUACCAAGGCUUUGACGGGUAGCCGGCCUGAGAGGGUGACCGGCCACAUUGGGACUGAGAUACGGCCCAGACUCCUACGGGAGGCAGCAGUGGGGAAUAUUGCACAAUGGGCGGAAGCCUGAUGCAGCAACGCCGCGUGCGGGAUGACGGCCUUCGGGUUGUAAACCGCUUUCACCUGUGACGAAGCGUGAGUGACGGUAAUGGGUAAAGAAGCACCGGCUAACUACGUGCCAGCAGCCGCGGUGAUACGUAGGGUGCGAGCGUUGUCCGGAUUUAUUGGGCGUAAAGGGCUCGUAGGUGGUUGAUCGCGUCGGAAGUGUAAUCUUGGGGCUUAACCCUGAGCGUGCUUUCGAUACGGGUUGACUUGAGGAAGGUAGGGGAGAAUGGAAUUCCUGGUGGAGCGGUGGAAUGCGCAGAUAUCAGGAGGAACACCAGUGGCGAAGGCGGUUCUCUGGGCCUUUCCUGACGCUGAGGAGCGAAAGCGUGGGGAGCGAACAGGCUUAGAUACCCUGGUAGUCCACGCUGUA